UACGGGGGGAGCAAGCGUUGUUCGGAUUUACUGGGCGUAAAGGGCGCGUAGGCGGUCAGCACAAGUCAGUUGUGAAAUCUCCGGGCUUAACUCGGAAAGGUCAACUGAUACUGUGCGACUAGAGUGCAUAAGGGGCAACUGGAAUUCUCGGUGUAGCGGUGAAAUGCGUAGAUAUCGAGAGGAACACCUGCGGCGAAGGCGGGUUGCUGGGCUGACACUGACGCUGAGGCGCGAAAGCCAGGGGAGCGAACGGG
rnacentral:rRNA from 1 species